rnacentral:rRNA from 1 species
UACGCUGUUAUCCCUAAAGUAACUUCAACUUAUAAUCUCUACAAAAGGAUCAAUUAAACAACUAAAAAUAAUUAUUUCAAUUCACUAACAGUUACAUUUUAUAUUCUCGUCGCCCCAACGUAACAAAAUAAGCCUGGUUUAUUUUAAUACAACAACUUAAAAACCAACUUUCUAUGUCAAGUUUUAUAGGGUCUUAUCGUCCCCCCAACACAUUUAAGCCUUUUCACUUAAAAGUUAAAUUCAAUUUUUACAAUAAAGACAGACAGCUUCUUGUCCAACCAUUCAUUCCAGCCCUCAAUUAAAAG